rnacentral:rRNA from 1 species
UACGAAGGGGGCUAGCGUUGUUCGGAAUCACUGGGCGUAAAGCGCACGUAGGCGGAUCUUUAAGUCAGGGGUGAAAUCCCGAGGCUCAACCUCGGAACUGCCUUUGAUACUGGGGAUCUCGAGUCCGGAAGAGGUAAGUGGAACUGCGAGUGUAGAGGUGAAAUUCGUAGAUAUUCGCAAGAACACCAGUGGCGAAGGCGGCUCACUGGCCCGGUACUGACGCUGAGGUGCGAAAGCGUGGGUAGCAAACAGG